rnacentral:lncRNA from 1 species
AUGCCACAGCUGCCANGCUCAGAUGGACACCAAAAACCAGCUCAGAUGGACACCAAAGCAAAGCUCAGGUGGACACCAAAACACAGCUCAGGUGGACACCAAAACACAGCUCAGGUGGACACCAAAACACAGCUCAGGUGGACACCAAAAACUGCUCAGAGGGACACCAAAGCAAAGCUCAGAUGGACACCAAAACACAGCUCAGGUGGACACCAAAAACCAGCUCAGAUGGACACCAAAAACCAGCUCAGAUGGACACCAAAACACUGCUCAGGUGGACACCAAAGCAAAGCUCAGGUGGACACCAAAGCAAAGCUCAGGUGGACACCAAAGACAAAGCUCAGGUGGACACCAAAGACAAAGCUCAGGUGGACACCAAAGACAAAGCUCAGGUGGACACCAAAAACCAGCUCAGGUGGACACCAAAAACCAGCUCAGGUGGACACCAAAAACCAGCUCAGGUGGACACCAAAGCAAAGCUCAGGUGGACACCAAAAACCAGCUCAGGUGGACACCAAAGCAAAGCUCAGAUGGACACCAAAACAAAGCUCAGAGGGACACCAAAAACUGCUCAAAUGGACACCAAAAAACUGCUCAGGUGGACACCAAAACAAAGCUCAGAUGGACACCAAAAACCAGCUCAGAUGGACACCAAAAACUGCUCAGAUGGACACCAAAGCAAAGCUCAGGGGGACACCAAAGCAAAGCUCAGGUGGACACCAAAGCAAAGCUCAGGGGGACACCAAAGCAAAGCUCAGGGGGACACCAAAGACAAAGCUCAGGUGGAUGGACACCAAAGAAAAAGCUCAGUGGAUGGACACCAAAGAGAAAGGCUCAGGUGGACGGACACCAAGAAAAAGCUCAGGUGGAUGGAAAGCAAAGAAAAAGCUCAGUGGAUGGAAACCAAGACAAAGCUCAGUGGAUGGAAACCAAAGACAAAGCUCAGGCAGAUGGACAUCAAUAAAAAGCUCAGGGGGACACCAAAGACAAAGCUCAGUGGAUGGACACCAAAGACAAAGCUCAGUGGAUGGACACCAAGACAAAGCUCAGGAGGACACCAAAGACAAAGCUCAGUGGAUGGACACCAAAGACAAAGCUCAGUGGAUGGACACCAAAGACAAAGCUCAGGUGAACAUCAAAACACUGCUCAGGCGAAUGGACAUCAAUAAAAAGCUCAGGAGGACCCCAAAGACAAAGCUCAGGUGGAUGGACAGCAAAGACAAAGCUCAGGUGGAUGGACACCAAAGACAAAGCUCAGGUGGAUGGACACCAAAGACAAAGCUCAGGUGGAUGGACAUCAAUAAAAAGCUCAGGAGGACACCAAAGACAAAGCUCAGUGGAUGGANUAUCUAA